rnacentral:lncRNA from 10 species
UGCCAGUGUAUCAGUCAGAGGCAUUUCUGACAAACACGAUUAGGAGCAGGACAGGACGGCGGAAGGAGGGAGUGGGGCAAGUCAGGAAGCCGCUGGGAGUGUUUCACAAUAGCUCAGGCUAAGGUAAGUAAGGGCCCAGUCUAGAAAAGGGGUAAACAGAACAGGCAUGAGGGCAGUGAAAUCGUGAUGAAGACAGACUCCGUCGAGACCUUGUGAGAAGGAUGGCAGCAACAAAGAAAACAGGACAGCAGCUUGUCUUUGUUUUCCUGUGCCAGGACAAAACAAAGUAGGGAAUAUCCACUGGAGUUGAAGGAAGAAGCCUAAAGCCAGGGACUCUAUCAUUAGAGAAGAUCUAAAGCAGAAACAGACAAGGCAAAUUCCCGGUAAAGGAAAUAAUUACACUGCCAGCAGAAUCUCAGCAGUCAAGAGACAGUGGCAUUAAUACUUUAAAGUGCUCAAAAUAACCACCAUAUGAAGUGAGGUAGGGAUCCAGUUUCAUUUUUCUUCCCAUUCAUAUCCAGCUGUCCCACAUCAUUUACUGAAAAAGACUUUGUCG